rnacentral:tRNA from 1 species
GGUGCAGUGGCGAAGAUGGUCAACGCGGCGGUCUGCAAAACCGCUAUGCGCCGGUUCGAAUCCGGCCUGCACCU